GACGAACGCUGGCGGCGUGCUUAACACAUGCAAGUCGAGCGGAGCGGCGAACGGGUGAGUAACGCGUGAGUAACUGCCCCCCUCUCUGGGAUAACAGUUGGAAACGGCUGCUAAUACCGGAUAGUGGGGGAUGACUCGCGUCCUAUCAGCUUGUUGGUGGGGUAGUGGCCUACCAAGGCGACGACGGGUAGCCGGCCUGGGAGGGCGACCGGCCACAUUGGCCUGGGGUGCGGCCCAAACGCCUACGGGAGGCAGCGGUGGGGAAUAGUGCACGAUGGGGGAAACCCUGAUGCAGCGACGCCGCGUGCGGGAUGACGGCCUUCGGGUUGUAAACCGCUUUCAGCCAUGACGCGGUAGUGGCAGAAGAAGCACCGCCUAACUACGUGCCAGCAGCCGCGGUAAUU
rnacentral:rRNA from 1 species